AGUUGUUUCCUGGAAAUGAUCUAGGGGAGUGAAGGGGAAGAAGAGGACUCACUAACCUCAAGGAGGGGGGUGGGGUAGCGAAAGAAACAAAAUGAAAACACAACCAAAUCCUGUACUCUUAAUAGAAGAAUAGGGAAGGAGGGAGAGAGAAAGGGAGGACGAUCACUUUCACACACACACACACACACACACACACCACCCAAACCUCUAAACAACUUGUCUGCUUGUGGACAGCACCCUGCAGUUUCCUGGGGGUCGGGUGGGGGUGGGGGUGGUGAGGAUAGUAGGUUGGAGUUGGGGGAUGGGAGUAAGCUUAGGAGGCCUGAACUGGGGAUGGGGGGGGGGGGUACAAGGAAGGCAGAUCCAAGGAGCGGAUGAAUUGCAGACUAGUUGCCAAAACUUUUUUUUCCCCUGCUGCUGCUGCUGCUGCCGCCGCCGCCGCUGCCUUUGCUUUGAAUGUGGGUAGCUAGGAAACAGCAAGCCGUCUGAGAAGACGGAAUUUCCAACGUGUAAAAUGUUCUUAACGGAACCAUUGAGCGAGUGCAAUAAGGCGUGAGGGGGAACUAAUCUUCCCAUUUAAAUGUUUGUGGCAAUUUUAUCUAAAUGAAUUUUAAUGCUAAACGAGGGUAAUUCCCCAUUUGUAGCGCGUUUACUUCUCUUUCCUGUGCUUCUAAAGCAGUCUAACAUCAUGCAAUGAACAAUAACAAUAAAAAUACUGUCAAGGCAUAUUAUUCAUUUUGAAUGUGUUAUAAUUACAGCUGAUUAAAUAUCUUGGGAUAUAAUAGUGUUCUUAAUUUGAAAUUUUUUAAAAAGUCAUAUUAGAAAGCAGGUUCAGACAACUCUACUCCCCCCUUCUCCCCCACUCCUACUCCUCAGCAGGUAGAAAUGCGUGUGCCCUUAUUUGAAGGAGGGCGGUUUGUUUUUGUCUUUUAAGAAACAUCAAAAACACUCUCAGCGCUUCUAUUAUUUCCCUCACUUGGAUAAGAGUCCUCAAUAAUCUCAGCUGGACCUGAAAUUUACAAGAGGAAAAGCUAAAACAAGUAUUUUUAAAAGAGAGAGAGAAAAGGGGAUUACUAAGGAGGGAGGGAGGGCAAGAGAUGCUAGGGGCACCCACACACGCAUAUACACAUCAGGCACACACAGAAAGAAACACAGAAAGGACGGCAGUUUUGUUUUAUUCUUCUAAUUCACUAUAUUCUAAUCGACUUGACUCAAUAGUCCUCAUCUGCCAUUUCUAACCUCUGCUUUUCCCCCUCCUCCUCCUCUCCAUCCCUUCAGGAUCACUACCCCACCACUCCCUUCUCUUUUUCCGUUUCUCUCUCACACUUAAAAACUCAUCAAAAACAGAAUAGUAAAAGUGUUCAGAAUAAACCUUAUAAACAACAUGGUAUGUGAUUUCGUGGUGUGUAGGGUGUAUGUGUGGCGUGCGUGUGUGUGUAAGGGGUAGUAAGAUGAUUGGGGUAACUGGAUGGUUAAUUUAUAAACAUUUAUUAUUUAAUGGAAAAGUAAAUAAAUGGCUGUUAACUGCUAGUAACCACCUAUCAGGAGGGAAUUAUUUCACUAAUAUGGACUAUUUAUAUAGACUUAGAACUGCAUUUCCUUCAAAAAGGAAAUUAAGAGAAUCCCAUUGGGGGAGGGGAGACGGGUGAGUGUUUAAGGUUGAUUCAUUUUAUUUCCUAAAGAUCCAUGUGUUUAGAAACAGGCCCCAAUAAACAAAAGGUGAGAGUGUGCACAGCUGCACCAGCAGGUAAGUCAGUCAAUCAAAUAUCACCUAGUAAACCCAACCAACAACUGGCUUCUCUUUUCAAAUAGAAAAUAGAAUUGUUUAGGGCGGGUUUAUGGGGUGACAUAGACUUGAAUGGCAGACUUCUGAGUUUUAGCUGUUCUGUUCUGACCUCAUGUUUUGUUUACAAAGCAAUCACUGCUAAAAGGUUUAUUUUUUAUGAAUCUACCCUAAUUAAAAUAUUUGUAUAUUUUCCUUAGCUUUGGAAGCACAGUUUAUGCCUGUAAUUUUAUUUAAAUAAAAUUAUAAGGUAUUCCUGCUUAAACAUGUUAUUUUGUAUUAUUUAGCUGGCUGCAAUGCAGAAAGUACAGCUGUGCUGGAAAAUUGGUUAAUAACCAGUUUUCAUCCAAUGAGAACACAGAACAUAUUUAUGAGAAUUAGAUUUUAAAGUCUAUCAUCUUCAAUUCCCAUAGUUAAUUUUCUAGUUAAUGUAUACUACUCAUCUUAGGUAACAUCGUUACUAAUAGACUAAACUCUGUACUUAGAUUCGCCAUUAUGUGCUGGAAUAAUUUAGCUAGUAUUAGAUGAGUAAUUCUGUUUGAUGUAAUAUGAGAGUCUUUCUGGUAUCUUGCAGUUUAGUGCCCUUAGGUGUUAAAUUUGCUAUUAGGAUCUAAGUACUAAAAAAAAAAAAAAUCAAGUAUUAUUAAACAAUUGGUUUUGUGGUUAAAUUUUUGAAAGAAAUCUUAUAAAUAAAUGCAUCCCUUGGAGCUAAUGAUUAUUAAUUUUAUGAGUACUGUAUUCAUUUAUUGUUAUAGAAUAAUUACAAAUUUGGGGGGGCAGUAAACAAAUUUUUCAAGCAGUAGAGUCAGCAUGACAAAAAAUAAUUUGUUUUUAUUUUAGAUUCAGAUUUCAUUACUGCACUCAAACUACUACAACUGGGCUUUGAGUUAUUAUACAAUCCAAACUGUUUCAAUCAGAAACUCUAAGACUCAGUGUGCAAUGAUUAUUAUUAAUAAUUAGCUCCUUGGUUUCUUGAUAGAAAAAGGCUAUCAACAAGCAUUUGUUUAACCACAACAAAAAGUAUAAUUAGCUUAUCCCACUUAGUAAAUCUUGUAUGCAUGCCAACUCAUACCAAACUGCUACUUUUACAAAAAAUUGCAAUAAUACAGUUCAUUUUUCCAGUCCUUUUUGCACAAAAUUUAUUUACAAUGUCUACAUAAAUGCUCCAAGAUGGGACUAUGGAAAAAUACACACAUGACUGAUGCUUUGCUCAGAAAUAAAGUCAACAUAUUAAAAAUAAAUCUUCAGUUCAUGUUUUUGAGCUGCAUAAAACAGGAAGUGAUGUAUAAGGUGGUGGUUGUUGCAUGGGGACAAUGAUGCUCUGAUGUGACAAUGAGGCUUCAAAACACACUGCCUUUUGGUUUCCAUGCCUCCUCCUACCAGUCUCCUUAAGACACUGCCUGGAACAGCUGAUUAAUCAUUGUUGAUGACUGCAGUUUUUCCCAUCCUUCCCGAUUUACAUCUGUUCAGGCCAAUUCAAAUAUGGUAAUGGACCUCCCGGUGAAUGGCUUGAGGAUGGCUUUCGCUUGCGUGACUUGAAUACAGUUACUAUGGGGGACUUGCCUGCUCGAUUGGACUGGUCUAUCAUGGGCUGAACUAUUCUUCUUCUAGCAUUAAUAAACCUGUAACAAAAGAGUAAA